rfam:Capsicum annuum cultivar Zunla-1 chromosome 6, whole genome shotgun sequence
ACCCUUUACUUGAACAGGAUCUGUUCUAUAGGCUCGUACCACUGUAUCCUUGACUUCUAAGGAGACAAGAAACCAAUUCUGGUUGAUGAGAUUAGAGCGUGAUUAACUGCCAUCCGCGGCAUCUCGAGUUGAGGUGCAGUAGAUGAUCGUUCUUAGACCCGAGUUCAGGCCUAAGAUGGUCUCAUGGAUGUCUGACAGACU